GCGGAGGGAUCAUUACCGAGUUUACAACUCCCAAACCCAAUGUGAACGUUACCAAACUGUUGCCUCGGCGGGAUCUCUGCCCCGGGUGCGUCGCAGCCCCGGACCAAGGCGCCCGCCGGAGGACCAACCAAAACUCUUAUUGUAUACCCCCUCGCGGGUUUUUUACUAUCUGAGCCAUCUCGGCGCCCCUCGUGGGCGUUUCGAAAAUGAAUCAAAACUUUCAACAACGGAUCUCUUGGUUCUGGCAUCGAUGAAGAACGCAGCGAAAUGCGAUAAGUAAUGUGAAUUGCAGAAUUCAGUGAAUCAUCGAAUCUUUGAACGCACAUUGCGCCCGCCAGUAUUCUGGCGGGCAUGCCUGUCCGAGCGUCAUUUCAACCCUCGAACCCCUCCGGGGGGUCGGCGUUGGGGAUCGGCCCUUUACGGGGCCGGCCCCGAAAUACAGUGGCGGUCUCGCCGCAGCCUCUCCUGCGCAGUAGUUUGCACACUCGCAUCGGGAGCGCGGCGCGUCCACAGCCGUUAAACACCCCAAACUUCUGAAAUGUUGACCUCGGAUCAGGUAGGAAUACCCGCUGAACUUAAGCAUAUCAAUA
rnacentral:rRNA from 1 species